UUGUUAUAGGUACUUGCUAAGAAAAGCACAUAAUCCAUCGAUCCUUCAAUGGCCCCAUGACUAUGAUCUAGUAAAAAAUAGAUCAAUGCAUUGAUUGGAAAAAGAUACCUGGCAAAUAUGAAUCUUUAAAGCCGGGAAUUUGGUUAAAUGCAACAGUAAUUAUAGAUUAUCUGAAUAUUAUGAAGCAACAGAUGAAAAUUAUGGUGAUUGAUUCACUAAUGCUACCUGUAAUGGAAUCAAAAGGAUACUUUGCAGCAUCUAGAUUUGGAAAAGUU